rnacentral:rRNA from 1 species
UACGUAGGGUGCGAGCGUUAAUCGGAAUUACUGGGCGUAAAGUGUGCGCAGGCGGCCGCGCAAGUCGAGUGUGAAAGCCCCGGGCUUAACUUGGGAAUUGCGCUCGAAACUACGUGGCUAGAGUGUGGCAGAGGGAGGUGGAAUUCCACGUGUAGCGGUGAAAUGCGUAGAGAUGUGGAGGAACACCGAUGGCGAAGGCAGCCUCCUGGGCCAGCACUGACGCUCAUGCACGAAAGCGUGGGGAGCAAACAGG